GUGAGCUGCUCUGCCCGGGGUUCAGAGAGGGGCAGCUCAAGCACUCCCUUGGAUACCCUGGCUGGUGUCUCACUACGUUACAUGCUCCGCAAAUCCACUGGCUCUGAGCCUAUCAUAGCACCUUGACUUGCCCAGGAAUUGCAGUUCUUGUGGCCUAGGCUGUUUUUCAGGUUUAUUUAGAACCCCAGAGCAUUUUAACUCACAGCAUCAAGGCUUGCUGGAACUCAGGUUUCGACUGCUAGGAUGGCUGAUUCUCCUCUGGCUAAGGCUAGUCUAGAUGCUCCCUCCAUGGGCACUGGCUGAGUUCUGCCUGGUGUUGCUUUCUGCUGUGACAGGGCAGCACUGGGUGCCUCUUUCAGUUAUACGAAGUUCAACCCAGCUACAGAGCAGCAUCUGAAGAGCCACGGGGCCCCCACCUUCAUCCCUGAGAAUUUUAGGAGCCAGCCUGCCUUUCCAGGUGACACUGGACACUUUCAUCUGAGAACCCUGUCACAUGACAGUUGUUUCCUUUCUUCCUCCUCUCCUGGGAAUGCUGCUGCUUCGAUGACCCAAGAGCCUAAGAAGGGUAGCUGUUUCUCAAUACACUGAGAGAGAGUUCUUUCUCCGUCCUGACCAUCUUGGGACCCGAUGGCAAGACUGGAAGGAUUUAUAUCUCCUUUUGUACAGAAAACUGCCUCCCCAUGUUGGUUUGUGAAGUGAAAUGCAUAUAAAACAGAGGAUUCCAGACUCUCAGAAGUCAAUACAUAAAUAAAUAAAAAUAAAACUGAGAAGAUACCUCAAAAUGGUCAGACUCAUUAGCAUCAUCCAGAAAGGCAUACCAGCUACCAUUUCAACCUCAUUAAAAUGUGAUUUUUGGAACAGG
rnacentral:lncRNA from 1 species